rnacentral:rRNA from 1 species
UACGUAGGGGGCAAGCGUUGUCCGGAAUCAUUGGGCGUAAAGCGCGCGUAGGCGGCCCUGUAAGUCCGUUGUGAAAGUCAAAGGCUCAACCUUUGAAAGCCGAUGGAUACUGCAGGGCUAGAGUCCGGGAGAGGCGGGUGGAAUUCCUGGUGUAGCGGUGGAAUGCGCAGAUAUCAGGAGGAACACCAAUAGCGAAGGCAGCUCGCUGGGACGGUACUGACGCUAAGGCGCGAAAGCGUGGGGAGCGAACAGG